UCUUCAGUGACCACUCAUUCAGCUGAACAAUGCUGUACCUUCCUAGCAAGCAUUACCUUAAACAUCUAAGAUCAGUCUCUUUUCUCCCCCCUUUAAUAAAUCUUUCAUUUCUGUGCUCAUUCAUUCAUCUCCCAUCAUUCAUCUCUGGGAGUGACAGGUGCUAAGCGGCAUGACCCUUUUCCAUUUUCUGAUCCUUUCCCAUUCCUUUAAUUCUAAGUGAGAAUAAGUUCAUUCUUCCUAUAUGGUUUCUAGGUUUGGUAACACCUUGGUAUUUCACUACAGAAACAGGAGUUACCUGGAAACAAAACCAUUCAUUUUUGCAAAGAGCAAUCGCAAGACUUUCUCCUUUUGCUCCCAGGUCAAAUCUUCAAUAUCCACAUUUCCUUGAAUAUCCGUCCUGAAGAAUUUCAAAGGCAAAAUGGCCAAAAAAAGAAAAUAAAGGAACAUGUUCAAAGAUACUACAAUGACAUUCUAUGGAACAAAUGAUCUAGUCUCUUUAAUAAGUCUCUGUCUUGAAAAAAGGAAAUCUACUAAGAAUACCUACUAAGCCCCACACACAGUGCUAAGCACAGGGGUUAUAAAGACAGGAAGGCAGGAAGCCCAAUUGAAAAUUCGCAGUCUCCCUUGCAGUUCAGCAAAGCUAUGUAACUAAGUUCUGGUCAAUGAAAUGUAAGUAGAAGUGUUUGCAGGACUUCCAGGAAGACUUCUAAAGGGGAGGGGGGGCAUAAUUUUUCCUUCCUGUCCUUCUUCCUUCCUGCUUUCUGGGUAAUGGUUAGAGAUCUAGCAACUGCUUUGGGCCAUGAAGUAACUGGGGAUGUAAGCCAUACGUUGCCCAGCAGAGUUAAGGAAACUGAGUCUCUGUUGACUUUGUGGCACUACCCUUCCAGCUCUGGAUUGCUAACCUCCAGACUUCAUUUAGAGGAGAGAAUAAACCCUUACAUGGUAAAGCCACUGUUGUCGGGGCUGUUACAGCUGAACCUAUUCCGAACCAGUAAUUCAGAGACCAACUCUAAGCAAAGUAAAAUGAGUAUUCUAAGGUAGUCGAGGAUAGGAUUUACAUUUAUGUUUCUGAUAUAUUCUUUAUAAAGCCAAGUCAAAUACUUCUUUUUUUAUGUUUAUUUAUUUAUUUAUUUUUGAGAGAGAUAGAGAGAGAGCACAUGCUC